rnacentral:misc_RNA from 1 species
AACGCACAUUGCGCCCCCUGGCAUUCCGGGGGGCAUGCCUGUUCGAGCGUCAUUUACACCCCUCAAGCAUAAGCUUGGUAUUGGAGGCCGCCUCAACCCCUUCGGGGGAGUGGCGCCCCCGAAAUGCAGCGGCGGUGCGGCCGAGUCUUCCUAGCGCAGUGACUUUUAAAUUCUCGCUACAUGGAGCUCGUCUUCCCCGGCCGGACAACAGCACCUAAUUUCUUAAAGAAUUGACCUCGGAUCAGGUAGGGAUACCCGCUGAACUUAA